UACGUAGGUGGCAAGCGUUGUCCGGAUUUACUGGGCGUAAAGGGAGCGUAGGUGGAUAUUUAAGUGGGAUGUGAAAUACUCGGGCUCAACCUGAGUGCUGCAUUCCAAACUGGAUAUCUAGAGUGCAGGAGAGGAAAGUAGAAUUCCUAGUGUAGCGGUGAAAUGCGUAGAGAUUAGGAAGAAUACCAGUGGCGAAGGCGACUUUCUGGACUGUAACUGACACUGAGGCUCGAAAGCGUGGGGAGCAAACAGG
rnacentral:rRNA from 1 species